GAUGAACGCUGGCGGCGUGCCUAAUACAUGCAAGUCGAGCGAACAGAUGAGGAGCUUGCUCCUCUGACGUUAGCGGCGGACGGGUGAGUAACACGUGGAUAACCUACCUAUAAGACUGGGAUAACUUCGGGAAACCGGAGCUAAUACCGGAUAAUAUAUUGAACCGCAUGGUUCAAUAGUGAAAGACGGUUUUGCUGUCACUUAUAGAUGGAUCCGCGCCGCAUUAGCUAGUUGGUAAGGUAACGGCUUACCAAGGCAACGAUGCGUAGCCGACCUGAGAGGGUGAUCGGCCACCCUGGAACUGCGACACGGUCCAUACUCCUACGGGAGGCAGCAGUAGGGAAUCUUCCGCAAUGGGCGAAAGCCUGACGGAGCAACGCCGCGUGAGUGAUGAAGGUCUUCGGAUCGUAAAACUCUGUUAUUAGGGAAGAACAAAUGUGUAAGUAACUAUGCACGUCUUGACGGUACCUAAUCAGAAAGCCACGGCUAACUACGUG
rnacentral:rRNA from 1 species